rnacentral:rRNA from 1 species
CCUAUGGGAGGCAGCAGUGGGGAAUAUUGCGCAAUGGGCGAAAGCCUGACGCAGCGACGCCGCGUGAGGGAUGAAGGUCUUCGGAUCGUAAACCUCUGUCAGCAGGGAAGAACAGUCACUGUGCUAAUCAGCAGUGAAUUGACGGUACCUGCAACGGAAGCACCGGCUAACUCCGUGCCAGCAGCCGCGGUAAUACGGAGGGUGCGAGCGUUAAUCGGAAUUACUGGGCGUAAAGCGCUCGUAGGCGGCAUGUCAAGUCAAUGGUGAAAUCCCCGGGCUCAACGUGGGAACUGCCUUUGAAACUGGGAAACGGGAGUGAGUGAGAGGUAAGUGGAAUUCCAGGUGUAGGGGUGAAAUCCGUAGAUAUCUGGAGGAACAGCAGUGGCGAAGGCGACUAUCUGGCCCAUAACUGACGCUGAGGAGCGAAAGCGUGGGUAGCAAACAGGAUUAGAUACCCUUGUAGUC